UACGAAGGCCCCAAGCGUUAUCCGGAUUUAUUGGGCGUAAAGAGCUCAACGGUGGCUGAUUAAGUCUCUGGUUAAAUUUUGAUGCUCAACAUCAAAGCCGCCAGAGAAACUGGUCAGCUUGAGGACAGAAGAGGCAGACGGAAUUGCCGGUGUAGUAGUAAAAUGCGUUAAUAUCGGCAAGAACACCAAUUGCGAAGGCAGUCUGCUGGGAUGCUCCUGACACUUCACGAGCGAAAGCGUGGGUAGCGAU
rnacentral:rRNA from 1 species